rnacentral:rRNA from 1 species
CCUACGGGUGGCAGCAGUGAGGAAUAUUGGUCAAUGGGCGGAAGCCUGAACCAGCCAAGUAGCGUGCAGGAUGACGGCCCUACGGGUUGUAAACUGCUUUUAUACGGGAAUAACGCGCGUUACGUGUAGGGCUUUGCAUGUACCGUAUGAAUAAGGAACGGCUAAUUCCGUGCCAGCAGCCGCGGUAAUACGGAGGUUCCGCGCGUUAUCCGGAUUUAUUGGGUUUAAAGGGAGCGUAGGCGGGUAGUCAAGCUAGCUGUGAAAUGUCCGGGCUCAACCUGAGCCUUGCAGGGGUAACUGGCGUGCUUGAGUGCGCGGAAGGCAGGCGGAAUUCGUGGUGUAGCGGUGAAAUGCUUAGAUAUGACGAAGAACCCCGAUUGCGAAGGCAGCUUGCUGGAGCGUAACUGACGCUGAUGCUCGAAAGCGCGGGUAUCGAACAGGAUUAGAUACCCGGGUAGUC